CUGUUUCUCGAGCCCCACGCCCCUGCCAUCCUUAGGUCUCCCACGCACGCAAGGCUCUGCCCACACUCUCGGCCUCAUCUCCCAUCGUCCCACGGCGGCGACGCCCAACUGCACGUCCGCCUCCUGCCAUUCUUCUCGUCGACGUCGUAGGAUUAGGAGCGGGGAAACAACAUCCAAGGACCACGGCGGUGUGCCGGUGUGCGCAGACGGGGCUGCAGCCCCAGCGAUCUGCAUCCGGUGGAUCGGUGGCAUCGUGAUCUGAAGCAAGGAGAUAUUGAUGUUGGGAUCAUCGUUGAGGGGAGGGGCUGGAGCUGUUGGAGGCGAAGCAGAUCGCGUCGCUGGGCGGCCGGGGAAGGUCGAGUGCUCGUCGACUCGGCUUCUGAAAAAGAGGAUCACCCUCAUAGGUGCAGGCGGAUGAGUGGAGUCGCCCGGCUGAGGGCUACAGAGGAAGUCGAAUUCGAAGCACCACGGCCGCCUGAUUCUGCUACCCUGAUGUGUUCUUUCCUUCUGUUUUUCUCAUCGCUUCCCACAUCUGUUGUAUGUCUCUUGAGCUCUUGGCAGGGAGGAGAAAUUACUUUACACGGGAACGCAAGAUACAUGGAGAAGGAUGCACAUGGACCGCUGCUAGGAAGGUUGGCUGUUCUGAAACUAGCUAUUUCUGUUUUCCAUUUGUCUAAACGUUGCUCUAUUCCAGCUUGUAGCUGCAUCGUCAAGAUAUUCAGGUUCCUCGUGUUUCCUACAUGUUUGUUUCCACAUUUACCUUUGAUUACAGCCUCAACUGUACUGACACUACUUACUAUUGAGGGAGAGUUCAUACUGUUUGGAGAAAUUGGAGAAGCACUUGCUGGUAAACAGGUAGGCCUUCACAUACUGCAUCAUCUCGUAGUGCAGCUUUUGGAUCCAAAUCGGCAUGGAGAUGUUCCCUUUUUGUGUUUCAUCACCACAUUUGGGUUGCAGGCGCACCGAGAUAUAGAUAUUUACACUGAUCGGCAGUCUAUGGUUCUCUCUAGACUUUUUAGAUAGAUCUGUAGCAAAUGUGGUGAUUUAGGCCCUGGCCCGCAUUUUGGUGGUUUUUUCCUUGACUAAUUCAGUGAAAUUUUUAUAUAGUGUAUUCUCUAUUCCCUACUUAAUCACAAAAAAAUAUAGCCAUUCAUUCAUGUACGUGCAAUUGUGACUUGCCGGCAAGAGUCAAUUUAUUUUGUUCCACUGAAUUCACAAGCCACACAGAGUGCAUCAGUUCAAUAAAAUAGACGUGGUGCAUGUUUACUCGAAAUUUUUAAUCAUCCAUGUUUCCUUGCACUGCAAUAUGCAAUUGUGAUUUUAUUCUCAAGGCUUAUCUUGUGGUUUCAGAAGGCUCUCCUGUACGCCACCAUGACCAGGUUGUUUCAUGGAUACAACAAGUGAUGAGACACACUUCUUGGCAGCGUUACUAUGAUACCUGUUCUUCUAUUUUCCUUGCUUUACUGAACUUAUUUUGUUCUCCUUUGUAGUAGCAUGAUUGGAGGCUAGAAAGAAUAUGCGCUUCAAUUAUGGUAUGUGCCGUAAGUAUAGUAUGUGAAGCUGGCUGCAUUUUAGAGAUUGAACAACACGUGCCUCAUGUUUGCAGAGAAUGAGGACAACAUACUUUGCAUAAAAAUGUAUAAUUUAUUAUCAUUUUUGUUCAUGUUCAACAUUUUUUUGUCUCUCUCCAUGGAAAGAUCUCAGUAUUUCAGUAAAUAAGACAUAGAUAACUUUCAGAUUCAUAAAACAAGGGUUUUGUUCUUUGCGUCGCAUUAAAAACUUGAUUAAGGAUUAAGUUAUAGAACUUUGUGUGUCUUAUUUACACUACGAGAGCAACCUGUACACGCAAAAACUUUAAGUUAUAGAGCUUUGUGUGUCCUGUCCAACAGUAGAACCAUUUGUUUCUCCUGCCCAAGUUUUAUUAUUAUUGUUACUUGCGAUGUCAUGCUACAUCUUACGUAAAAAGAUGAACCAUUUUUUUUCUCCUGAUACACCAAGAAGUUUUUGUGUGUACAGGUUGCUCUCAUAGUGUAAAGAACCCAUGUUGAUGCCUUAAGUCCAGCACGCAUGUCACACUCAUGUCAGCAGCAGAACGGGAAUUAGUCCUCAACCAAGGUUUCUGAGAAGGAGUAGUCAGUCGUCACAUGGUGAGUUGAACCACGAAAUUGACAAGGUUGAGAAAUUGUUCUUCUGGACGUUUUGAUCUUCUACCUUUAGGGAGGCGAUGGAACCGAGGAAUGUGUUCAUAGCUAGCGACAUUGGUUAACAAUAUAAAUUGAUUGCGAGGGUUAGAUUCUUUUGAGCUGAACUAAUCGAUGAUGAGGGGAUGAGUUUCCUGGAAAGACGAACAUGCAUAUUGGCAGGCCAACGUCGAAGACAGGUACCUCCAGUGACCUGAUGCCAACGUCGAAGACAGGUACCUCCAGUGACCUGAUGAAGAUUCUGACCGACAACUUCCACAUAGAAGACCGGACUAGGCGUGCUAGCAGAAUGAACAAAGAGAACGACGACGAACACUCAGAAGAAUUGACCAAAUCAUACGACAACAAGAGCAACCGAGAGAAAAUGAAAUUGGGCCGUGAUUGGGUUGAUGAGAUUGGGCUUCAACUGUGCGGCAAGGAGGAUGGGUUGCAGAUUCAGAUUAAUCCAUGUCCAUUAAAAAAUCAAGCUAAGCUGCGUGUACCCAUGUAGGAAUGUAUGUGUUGUAAUCUGGUCACUAGCAUAAGAAUCAUGAACCGUGGUGUAACAUUAACUUCAGUUUUUUUUCUGUAGCCCUGUUGACUAUGGAUACCUAAUCUGAAUGGACUUACUACACUGUUCUAUCAAACUGUAGAAUGGCACCUCAAAAGGUAUGUUCCAUGUAUUAUGAGAAAUACUGGAACCUUUAACUUAAAUA